ACUACUGCGGGAGGCAGCAGUGGGGAAUUUUGGACAAUGGGCGAAAGCCUGAUCCAGCAAUGCCGCGUGAGUGAAGAAGGCCUUCGGGUUGUAAAGCUCUUUAGUCAGGGAAGAAACGGUGAAAGCUAAUAUCUUUUGCUAAUGACGGUACCUGAAGAAUAAGCACCGGCUAACUACGUGCCAGCAGCCGCGGUAAUACGAAGGGUGCAAGCGUUAAUCGGAAUUACUGGGCGUAAAGCGUGCGCAGGCGGUUUUGUAAGUCUGAUGUGAAAUCCCCGGGCUCAACCUGGGAAUUGCAUUGGAGACUGCAAAGCUAGAAUCUGGCAGAGGGGGGUAGAAUUCCACGUGUAGCAGUGAAAUGCGUAGAUAUGUGGAGGAACACCGAUGGCGAAGGCAGCCCCCUGGGUCAAGAUUGACGCUCAUGCACGAAAGCGUGGGGAGCAAACAGGAUUAGAUACCCCGGUAGUCCCAUG
rnacentral:rRNA from 1 species